rnacentral:rRNA from 1 species
UACGGAGGGUGCAAGCGUUAUCCGGAUUCACUGGGUUUAAAGGGUGCGUAGGUGGGCAGGUAAGUCCGUGGUGAAAUCUUCGAGCUUAACUCGGAAACUGCCAUUGAUACUAUCGAUCUUGAAUUAUCUGGAGGUAAGCGGAAUAUGUCAUGUAGCGGUGAAAUGCUUAGAUAUGACAUAGAACACCCAUUGCGAAGGCAGCUUACUACGGAUAUAUUGACACUGAGGCUCGAAAGCGUGGGGAUCAAACAGG